ACCCUACUUUUAGGAUCGAUUAACUCGUUUGUGAGUGACGUCAGUUGACAACUUGGAAAAAUAACACAGCGUUAUUCUUUACAUUUGGCAAUACCAACACUAAAACAAUCUAAUUCUUUAGAGUUUACCGCAUAAUUAUUGAGAAUGUAUUAUAGAAGGCUUUUUGUCAAUUUAAAAUAUGUUCCCCUCUAUAUGUGAAUCAUUGAAUUCUUUUAUUUGAUGGGAUAUAAACACAGUUUAGACUGUUUAAACAAAUUCAAAGAUUCUUAACUCAUUACGUUGCAGGUAAGGGAACCAUAGAUAAACACAACCAAAUUGAUAAAACAACAAGAAUCAUCAAAAAUACAUCACUGAAAAAAAAAGCAGAGAACAAAAAAAACUUAAAGAUUAGAGCAGGAGCCGAUAUAACACCUUUGUAGGUUCGAAGAGGAUCAAGCCUAUCCAUGACUUGCCGGUUCAACCCCACCGCUUUAGCCGGGCCAGUUUGGAGAUCAACACAACAUCGGUUAAUCAAGAGCAGGGAGUGAACAUUGUAUUUUUUAAGCUUCCAUGGAAGCUUAUCUGAAGCUCCCCAUUUGGUUUCAACCUUCUAACUUUUCCAGUUUAAGGAGAUAUUGAUUAAGCUUCCAUGGCUAAAAAUGGGGAGAGAGAGCCUGUCUUCCUACUUCUUGUCUUUUUAUAGAAUUUU
rnacentral:lncRNA from 1 species